GACGAACGCUGGCGGCGUGCCUAAUACAUGCAAGUAGAACGCACAGUUUAUACCGUAGCUUGCUACACCAUAAACUGUGAGUUGCGAACGGGUGAGUAACGCGUAGGUAACCUGCCUGGUAGCGGGGGAUAACUAUUGGAAACGAUAGCUAAUACCGCAUAAUAUUAAUUAUUGCAUGAUAAUUGAUUGAAAGAUGCAAUUGCAUCACUACCAGAUGGACCUGCGUUGUAUUAGCUAGUAGGUGAGGUAACGGCUCACCUAGGCGACGAUACAUAGCCGACCUGAGAGGGUGAUCGGCCACACUGGGACUGAGAGACGGCCCAGACUCCUACGGGAGGCAGCAGUAGGGAAUCUUCGGCAAUGGACGAAAGUCUGACCGAGCAACGCCGCGUGAGUGAAGAAGGUUUUCGGAUCGUAAAGCUCUGUUGUAAGAGAAGAACGGGUGUGAGAGUGGAAAGUUCACACUGUGACGGUAUCUUACCAGAAAGGGACGGCUAACUACGUG
rnacentral:rRNA from 1 species